rnacentral:rRNA from 1 species
CAGUAGCCGCGGGAAUACGUAGGGUGCGAGCGUUAAUCGGAAUUACUGGGCGUAAAGCGUGCGCAGGCGGCUUUGCAAGACAGAUGUGAAAUCCCCGGGCUCAACCUGGGAACUGCAUUUGUGACUGCAAGGCUAGAGUACGGUAGAGGGGGAUGGAAUUCCGCGUGUAGCAGUGAAAUGCGUAGAUAUGCGGAGGAACACCAAUGGCGAAGGCAAUCCCCUGGACCUGUACUGACGCUCAUGCACGAAAGCGUGGGGAGCAAACAGGAUUAGAUACCCGUGUAGUCCCUGUCUCUUAUAC